rnacentral:RNase_P_RNA from 1 species
GCGGAGGGAGAAGGGGUCGCGGACCGGUCGCUACGGCGACCCGGUUCGAGGAAAGUCCGGGCUCCGCAGGGCACGAUGCCGGGUAACGCCCGGGCGUCGAGAGGCGACGGAAAGUGUCACAGAGAUCAGACCGCCGAUGGCGGCUUCGGCCGCACAGGCAAGGGUGAAAAGGUGGGGUAAGAGCCCACCGCGCUCGCCGGUGACGGCAGCGGCACGACAAACCCCAUCGGGAGCAAGGCCAAACAGGAGCGAGCGGUAGCCCGCCGCGUUCGAGCUCCGGGUAGGCUGCAUGAGGCGUCGGGUAACCGGCGUCCCAGAUAGAUGACCCCGCGGGCCUCACGGCCCGUCACAGGACCCGGCUUAUCUCCCUCCGCAUCC